rnacentral:sRNA from 2 species
AUGUACCGGGCGUACACGCCGUUUUUCCCGGCACCGUCCACGCCCAGCUGACCACUGCGCGCUGGGUUGCGUUCACC